rnacentral:rRNA from 1 species
AAUAGAUACCCGGGUAGUCCACCCCGUAAACGUUGGGAACUAGUUGUGGGGUCCCUUCCACGGAUUCCGUGACGCAGCUAACGCAUUAAGUUCCCCGCCUGGGGAGUACGGCCGCAAGGCUAAAACUCAAAGGAAUUGACGGGGACCCGCACAAGCGGCGGAGCAUGCGGAUUAAUUCGAUGCAACGCGAAGAACCUUACCAAGGCUUGACAUACACCAGAAUACCGUAGAGAUACGGGGCUCUUUGGACACUGGUGAACAGGUGGUGCAUGGUUGUCGUCAGCUCGUGUCGUGAGAUGUUGGGUUAAGUCCCGCAACGAGCGCAACCCUCGUUCUAUGUUGCCAGCACGUAAUGGUGGGAACUCAUGGGAUACUGCCGGGGUCAACUCGGAGGAAGGUGGGGAUGACGUCAAAUCAUCAUGCCCCUUAUGUCUUGGGCUUCACGCAUGCUACAAUGGCCGGUACAAAGGGCUGCAAUACCGUGAGGUGGAGCGAAUCCCAAAAAGCCGGUCCCAGUUCGGAUUGAGGUCUGCAACUCGACCUC